ACAAAAUGGGUUGUGUAUAUUAGUGAGCAAGCAAAGCCAGUGAGAGGAAAGCAUGGCACCUGUGGUGUAUGGAGUAUGGUUAUUCCUAACAUCAUAGAAGUGAUGCACAGCAUUUGAUGGAAGCAAUGGUCUGCUGGACUGGCACAGCACAGGACUUAAACUGCCAGAUCUUCUUCCCAAAGAGCCCUUCUUCCUCCUGUCAGGCUUUCUGCUGAGCUGGGGGGAGCUCAGGCCCAUCUCCUGCUUUUCGCUCUGCCUACAUAAGUCCCAUCUGCCCAAGAAGCCGUAGGGCUGCCCAGAGGCAGAGCAGGUCUUGGAAGAUUUAUUGAAAUCCUUCACUAUGUAAUCCAAAGCUGCAUUUUUAUUCUGGUCCUUACGGUGUUAACUCACUUUGUUGCUUAUUGAUAGGAGACUCCUCUCGAGCGAGUAUUAAUCUGUUUAUAAUUGUGGUGUCUAAAAUGAUUUAAUGUCUGCCAGUGAUUUCUAAGACAUAGAAUUUGUAUGUUAAAAACGAGAUCCACGUGAAAUGGAAAAGGUUGCAGUGUUUCAAAACAUCUCAGUAAUUCUGGCGUCCUGCCCAGUACUAAUGCCUAUCUACUAAAAACAAAUGGUAGGAGAACUUUAAUUGUUUUUUUUUUUUUUUUUUUUUUUUUUUUUAAUAUGAAACAGAGGUCUUUCCAAGUCAGGUUUAGCAUAAUUUUCUCAUCUCAUUUUGUCUUUUUCGUAUUUAGUUGGAAGGUGUUUAUGAUUGUGGAGGGAUUGGAAAUGACCCCAGGAGCACAGAAGCAGCCUCGUCCUGCAGAGUUCAGAGGAUGGUGGUGGAGGUGUGAUGACCACCAACCACACAGCUCUGAAAUCAUGGGCUACGUGGGACAGGAGAUGGAGAUCAGGGUGUAAUUCCAUGUGGAGGUGGCUGAGCUCAGCUCCCAGCAGCACUAUUUCUUCUUGCUGGGAUAAAUCAGUGCAGGCAAAGCUCAGCUCUCACUGCACAGCCCUUCUCACUGCACUGCCCUGCUGCCUGCAGCACCAGCCCUGCACAGAGCCCUGCGAGGAAGCAUGAGCCCAUUGCUCCAGCUAAGAUAUUCUCUACUAAAUCGUCCAGGCUGGUUUCCCAUUUUAAUUUGCCUGUUCUGCCUCCCUCUGGAUGGCGGGGAGCCUUGCUGUAGCAGUCAUUUUUCUCCCCACAGAGGUGCUUAUCCCGUGUAAUCACAUUUCCUCUCCAAUCGAGCUCUCAGCACAUGGCAUUUUUCCCAGUCCUUGAGUAAUUUCUUUAGUUCUUCUCCGCUCCUAUUUUUCAGCUCCCUUUUAGAAAUGAGAGGAUGAGUCCAAUAGUCAGUAUUGAAUUCUCAGCUUCACCACUGCCAGGAAUAUUGAGAGAAAAUGAUUUCUUCCCUCACUUCUUUAAGUUCAUCCGGGAAUGCUGGGCUCUGUCUCCGGUCACUGUUUUAUGUAUGAUAUGUGCUUUUGUCUGUCUUCUACCACUGGUCAGUGGCAUAUCUCACUUGUCAGGUUUUAUUGGCUGUUAAUUAAAAGCAAAGAUGCAGGCAUGGCCUCUGGCUUGGGGCAUGCUGAUGGUCGCUUCCCUGCUGCCCACCUGCUGCUGUUCUCUGCCUGAAGCAAUGUGGGGCAAGGUGGGCCUUCUUGCUGCCCCACUUAAGCCAUUUGCAUGGUGUUGUGCCAUUAAUCUUGUUUCCCAUCUCCUCUGCACCUAGCGUGCCAUAAUACUACUAGUGGUUGAAAGUUGUCUGCUUGGAAAACAGUGAAAAAACAAUACAUCCAUCUGCCAGCAUCCGCCCAGAACUGUCAGCAGUCCCUCUAGAAGCUGCAUAAUGGAAUCCACAUGCUGUCGCUGAAAGAAAAUUACAAUUCUGAAGUUUCUUCUGGUUCUGUUUUCUAA
ensembl:lncRNA